GGCCUCCCAAUUCUUACCACAGGCUGUGUUCUUUACACUGACUGUAUAGAAAGGGGAGGUACAGUAAAUGCACUCCAUAUACACCUCGACACAGGUGUAUAUUUGCCUGGUCUGUAUUGUGAAUUGGGGGACAAAA